GCCAAAAAUGCUGAAUCUAGGCUAGAAGAUGGCAAAAAUCAUGAACCAAACCAUUCAGACCAAGGAUGGGUAUGAUUUAAAAAAAAAAAAAUCCUAUUCACAUUUUCAGUUCAGCCUAAAAGAGAAGGAAACUAUUCCACAAAGUGUUUCUGACAUAUGAAAUUUGUAGGUUCCAAUGGUUGAAAAAUAAAAUUUACAAUUUCUGCAAAAGUAAAAGACCAUAAUAGAAAGAAAAUGAGAACUUGCUCA
rnacentral:misc_RNA from 1 species